rnacentral:rRNA from 1 species
GACAGAGGAGCCAAGCGUUGUCCGGAUUGACUGGGCGUAAAGCGCACGCAGGCGGCUGUGCACGUGGGGUGUGAAAGGUGGCGGCUUAACUGCCACACGCCACCUCAUACGGCACGGCUCGAGCCCGUGAGAGGUCCACGGAAUUGCCGGUGUAGUGGUGAAAUGCGUAGAUAUCGGGAGGAACACCAGUGGCGAAGGCGACUUCCUGGCCCGUUCUUGACGCUGAGGCGCGAAAGCUAGGGGAGCAAACGGG